rnacentral:lncRNA from 1 species
UGCGGGAGGUGGGGGAGAGGAGCUCGUUUUCACCUAGGGAAGACGAAUGACAGCCAUAGAAGAAGAGGCAUCAUCCUGUCUCUAAAUGGCAGGAGGACUUUGUAUAAGCCUUCCAGACAAUGGAAGCCAUGUGGGCGAAGACUCAGGCUCAAGUCUGGCCACUGUGAUCCAGAGCCUCCUCAUGGCUGCCUGAGGAAGACAAUCGCCUCCUGUUUGCCUUUGGAACAAGACGUAGAACUUGCAGCUCCUCCAGCACCAUGUCUGACUGCACAGUGCCCUGCUUCCUGCCAUGAUGAUAAUGGACUGAACUUCUGAAACUGUAAGCCAGCACCAAUGAAAUGUUUUUUCUUUAUAAGAAUUGCCUUAGCUGGGCGUGGUAGCACACGCCUUUAAUCCCAGCACUUGGGAGGCAGAGG